AAAAAGGCUGCAGGAGAAACCCACUUCCAAUCUUAAAACUCCCUUUUCAAUGACAACACCAAGAGGCAUAAAAAAUUAGAAAGAGAAUCAUUUAAUACCAUAAUGAAAAUGCCAAUGACAAAUGAAUUCGCGCCAAAAUACAUAACGAUCAAUGAGAUUCAGUCCAUAAUUGCAUACAUCAGACAAAAGAUUCAAGAGUUCCCUGUUUGAAUCCUGGAACUCAUUAGACAAUAGUUUUCCUGACAGCAUAAUUAACAAAUUAAAAAACCAAUAUCAUGUUGAAACCAUAAAGCUGCAAAUUUGACACUUGAAAGUACAGUAUCUACAUAUCAGAUGGCAACAGAGCAAAAAGCCUAAAAAUAUGCUAAGGCAAAUGCACAAUUCAAUAACCCAUUUUCAUUUUUGAACUCUAAUGUUGAAAGUGUGAAACUAGAAGUUUUGUAUCUACAAAGCAGAUGGCAAAUAACAGGCCACUAAUGAUAAUCAGGGGAAGCCGGGAAGUCUAACAUGAGAGACUAUAAUGCUGAACCUGAAAAAGAGAGAAUAGAGGGCUUUAAUGCGCUCGAGAAAAUUGACAUCAGUAUUAGCACACAAUCAUGCAUAAGACGCUUCCCCGAACUAGAAAUAACUUCUCGCAUUCAUCUUAACUUUCUUCUUCAAGGACACCCUUCUACCUAUUUACUGCAGUUACUCCAUUAUCCUUGCCUAAUCCCAGUUUCAUUAGCAGCAGGAACUUUUUCAGGGUAAUUGGACAAGUCCAUGUCAAUAAGUGACAUGUCAUAUGGUACAGAUAAAGAAUUUGAAGCAUCCACAAGCAGUGAAGAUUUCAUGGUAUCAGAAUUUGCAGAAUCAGGCACUGAAGUGAUAUUUUUGGGAGUGCUUGUACCAGAAGAAGAGUGACUGGAGAGUUGAAUUUCAUCCAGCUUGUUUCCAAACAUGUGUUUGUUUCUUCUGACAGCAUCCAUCUCCUGUCCAGUUGGCACAAAGGUGCGUGAGCGAUACUUUCUUGUUCCCUCAUCACCCUCACUAUGGUUGUAAAGCACAUAAUCAUGAUAAGUUGGUGCAAACUGAUGAACAGUAUCAUGAUAAAAGUCAUUUAACUUCAAGGCAUGAGCAAGACUUCCUGUUAAACCGCAAGAUCCACCGAUAUUUGCACCAGCAUACUCUUUGUAUGGGAAUGCAAAAAGAUGACCAACAGCAGCUAUAAGCAUCUCAACACAUAUGAUAAAAUUUUGAAACUGAGCAGCUUCCUCUGCAUUCUUUAUGAAUCCAGAUUUUGCAGCCAGAAAAACCAAAACUCCCUGCCAGUAAGUUAAGAAAACAACAGACUUAAUCAUAAUAAACUUGGGAACUGGAUUGAAGGGCUGAAGCAGAUCCCUGCAUGCGACAUAAAAUAAUGCCAAAGCAUACAGAGCCAUUGUGUAUGAGAUUGUAUAGGUGAUGGUAAGAUAUAGGUAUGCUUGGUUCGGACUGAAAUUUCCAUCUUUAUAUUUCCCUUUUGCAUAAAGUAUAAGAGUAACAGCAACUAAGAUAGGCUUCAGAAUCACAAACUGCAAACACCCCUGCUUACACCUCCUUAUAAAUCGCCCAUCUAGUGGUAUUGGAGGUAAGCAACAUGUCAUCAGACACAUGGAUGGCCUCAGAACCCGACCACUUAAACUUAGAACAACUGCUCCAGGGCCACCAACCCAAGCCAGGCAUAAAGACAGGAAAUUAUAGAUAACCCAAGCUUCAUAAACUUCUCUUAUGGAAUUGAAAUAGAUUGAACUCGUAGGCAAAAUGAGAGAUAAAAAAGACAUUAACGCAUAAAUCUGUCCACAGAAUAAAUAAAAGGGGGAAAAAAACCAACCCUAGUUAGAGAUAUAGCAAAACAAUAUAUGAAUAAAUUAAUAUUCAUAAAGUACAGUCUACCACACACUCUUAACCCCAUCCCAUGUAGAAAGCAAAAUGCAGAGAAUGGAAAACAAAAGGAAAAGAAAAAGAGAUAAUAACGACUAAUAUAUACUGUCUAGUAAUAACAAAAGAUAUCCGCAUACAAGUUUGAGCUCAACAUGCACAAAAACAAGUAAAUUAUGAGGAAAAUUUUAAAAAUCCUAACAAAGAAACAGAGACAAUCCAAAAUUUUAUUUCUUGAGCUCAUAUGCGUAUUAUUGCAUUUCCAAUUCAAGGCUUCUUAUCAUAACCUUAACCAUGCAAAUUCAAGUGUUUUGCUUGCAUAUAUUUUCUAUUCACAAUCAAAAGGACCAUUAUAAAAGAAAAUGAAGGCAACAUAAAUCAAGACUUGUGAUUGUUCUAACCGGUAGAGGUUUUAAAGCAUUGCUAAGCAACAAGAACAUACUUGGCAAUAUGUGUCAGGCAAUACCCAAAAAUUGUUUGUUGAUACAUUUCUUGGCAGAUGAACUUCCACUUACGUUCUUAUGUUUGCACAAGGUAUUAAGGGCAGCAUUCAAAUUUGAAUUAAAGAUAGAAAAUAAUUGAACAAGUGAAACAGAAUAAGCACCGACCGGAACCAUAAAGAUGAUGCGAACAAUGAAUCUCUGGUAAGUAGGUUCAGUAUAAUUUAAGAGAUGCCUGUAGAUGUGGAAAACGGCCAAUGCGAUUGCUCCAGCAGUGCAAAAGAAGGCAACAAAGCUGUAGUAAAAAGGAACCAAUUCCGCCAUAGCAAGAAACUAAUCCACCAACACCAAAUCAACACCUCCCCCAGAAACGAUAUUUCUAAAAAAUGAAAAAUAUAAGAAGCCGUAUGAUUGGCCUCCUCGUCUUCAGAUAGGCGGAGGAGGCUGACGGCGGAAGAACGAAUUCAGAGUGAAGGAGAAAUUAGCAAAAUCGUAACCCUAACUUCAUUGUGAAGAAAAUGAAAAGCGAAUGGACGAAUUUUGCUGAAUUAUUAGCGAUUUGAAGAGGACUGUAGAAGGAGGCGAGAUUUGAUUAGUGAUGAGUAAAAAGAAAGAUUAGGGAAGUUAAAAAAGAUUGAUUAGAUUUAAUGAGAAAGCGAGUUUAGGGUGAAAAUUGGGGAGAGAGUUGAGAUCUGAAAGAAAGGGAGAUAAAAUCAAAGGAGGAGGCAAAGGAAUAACAACUGGCUGGUGGCGGUUGAGGAGGAGGAAGAGGAUGAGAUGAGUCGGAGCGCUCCACUAGCACCCAAUAACGGCAGCUCGUUGUUGUCCCGCUGUCUGUAGAGUAUCGCUGGGAGAAA
rnacentral:misc_RNA from 1 species